ACCCGCUGAAUUUAAGCAUAUAAGUAAGUGGUGGAAAUUAAACCAAAUGGGAUAUCUUUAGUAAUUGCGAAUGAACAAGGAUAUGCUUAGCUUGACAAAUGGAGCUAUUGGCUUUGAAUUGUAUUUGUGGAAUGUAUUACCAACAGAGGUGCAGGUGCCAGCCUAUUAAAUAAAGCGUCAAUGAGGGUGAGAAUCCUGUUUGUCAUGUGCAGCCCUUUGUGCACGGUGUAUAUUUGCUGAGUCACACUCCUUGGCAUUGGAAUGCAAAGUGGGUGGUAAGUUUCAUGUACAGGUAAACAUGCAAUUGAGACUGAUAGCACACAAGUACCAUGAGGGAAAUAUGAAAAGGACUUUGAAAAGAGAAUUAAAUGAGUUUGUAUUUGCUGAACACAAAGUAAACAGACUUGAUUUGCUUGGUGGGAGUGUUGCACUUGCUUGACAAGAGCUUUGGGCUGUGGGUGUAAUGAUUCUUUCUUUGCAUGCCAGUUUCUAUGUGUACAUCUGAUUACCUUUGCACAUGAAUGAUAAGUCUCCUGUGGGGGGUGGAUUGCAUGUGCAUGUAAUGAUUUGUGUUUUGAUAAAUGUGUCUGGUGUAUGUGUGUGUUCCUGUGCUUGGGGAUGCUUCCUUCCUUGGACUUACAAGCCCUGACACACACAUGCUGGCAAAAUGCUUCUGCUUGACCCGUCUUGAAACACGGUCCAAGG
rnacentral:rRNA from 1 species